rnacentral:rRNA from 1 species
AACCAAGAGGAUCAAAUUAUAUAUCUACGGUGAAAAAAUAGUUAAAUUUUAAUAAGUUUAUUGAAUAUUUAUACAAGAGUAAAAUCUAAAUAUAGAUAGAAAAUUCUAAUUAAGCUUAAAUAUUGAAGCUAUGAAAACCUUGAGGGAAACUGGGAUUAGAUACCCCAUUAUUCUUGGAUGUAAAAUAAUCAUAAUUUACCAGAGUACUAUGAACUAACAAUUUAAAACUUAAAGGGCUUGGCGGUGUUUUAGACCUCUUAGGGGAACCUGUCUCAUAAUCGACAGUCCACGCUAAACCUGACCUUUUUUU